AAAGGGUCCGUAGGCGGACUCGUAAGUCAGUGGUGAAAUCUCAUAGCUUAACUAUGAAACUGCCAUUGAUACUGCGGGUCUUGAGUAAGGUAGAGGUAGCUGGAAUAAGUAGUGUAGCGGUGAAAUGCUUAGAUAUUACAUGGAAUACCAAUUGCGAAGGCAGGUUACUACUAGUGGAUUGACGCUGAUGGACGAAAGCGUGGGGAGCGAACAGGAUUAGAUACCCCAGU
rnacentral:rRNA from 1 species